rnacentral:rRNA from 1 species
UACGAAGGGGGCGAGCGUUGUUCGGAUUUACUGGGCGUAAAGGGCGCGCAGGCGGCUCAUUUUGUCAGGCGUGAAAGCCCCGGGCUUAACCUGGGAACUGCGUUUGAUGCGGAUGGGCUAGAGUUCGGGAGAGGAGAGUGGAAUUCCCAGUGUAGUGGUGAAAUGCGUAGAGAUCCGGAGGAACACCAGUGGCGAAGGCGACACGCUGGGCCGUACCUGACACUGAUGCGCGACAGCAUGGGGAGCAAACAGG